UACGGGGGGGGCAAGCGUUGUUCGGAAUUACUGGGCGUAAAGGGCUCGUAGGUGGCCAACUAAGUCAGACGUGAAAUCCCUCGGCUUAACCGGGGAACUGCGUCUGAUACUGGAUGGCUUGAGUUCGGGAGAGGGUAGCGGAAUUCCCGGUGUAGUGGUGAAAUGCGUAGAUAUCUGGAGGAACACCGGUGGCGAAGGCGGCAUCCUGGACCGGCAUUGACGCUGAGGAGCGAAAGCCAGGGGAGCAAAGCGGG
rnacentral:rRNA from 1 species